rnacentral:rRNA from 1 species
GUACUCGAGCGGCGAACGGGUGAGUAACACGUGAGUAACCUGCCCCUGACUCUGGGAUAAGCCCGGGAAACUGGGUCUAAUACCGGAUACGACACCUCCUGGCAUCGGGUGGGUGUGGAAAGUUUUUUCGGUUGGGGAUGGAUUCCCGGCUAAUCAGCUUGUUGGUGGGGUAACGGCCUACCAAGGCGACGACGGGUAGCCGGCCUGAGAGGGCGACCGGCCACACUGGGACUGAGACACGGCCCAGACUCCUACGGGAGGCAGCAGUGGGGAAUAUUGCGCAAUGGGCGAAAGCCUGACGCAGCGACGCCGCGUGGGGGAUGACGGCCUUCGGGUUGUAAACCUCUUUCAGCAGGGACGAAGUUGACGUGUACCUGCAGAAGAAGCGCCGGCUAACUACGUGCCAGCAGCCGCGGUAAUACGUAGGGCGCAAGCGUUGUCCGGAAUUAUUGGGCGUAAAGAGCUCGUAGGUGGCUUGUCACGUCGGGUGUGAAAGCUUGGGGCUUAACUCCAGGUCUGCAUUCGAUACGGGCUGGCUAGAGGUAGGUAGGGGAGAACGGAAUUCCUGGUGUAGCGGUGAAAUGCGCAGAUAUCAGGAGGAACACCGGUGGCGAAGGCGGUUCUCUGGGCCUUACCUGACGCUGAGGAGCGA